rnacentral:tRNA from 1 species
GGGAAGGUGGCUCAGUAGUAGAGCGCUUGCCUUGCAUGCUCGAGGCCCUGGGUUCGA